UUCGGUGGCGAUGUCGGAGGGGUCAUACCCGAUCCCAUCCCGAACUCGGAAGUCAAGCCCUCCAGAGCCGAUGGUACUGCGUGGGCAACUGCGUGGGAGAGUAGGACGCUGCCGGAA
rnacentral:rRNA from 1 species